rnacentral:rRNA from 1 species
AUUGCCUCAGUAACGGCGAGUGAAGCGGCAACAGCUCAAAUUUGAAAUCUGGCUGCCUCUGGGCGGUCCGAGUUGUAAUUUGAAGAGGAUGCUUUUGGCGAGGUGCCUUCCGAGUGCCCUGGAACGGGACGCCACAGAGGGUGAGAGCCCCGUAUGGUUGGACGCCGAGCCUCUGUAAAGCUCCUUCGACGAGUCGAGUAGUUUGGGAAUGCUGCUCAAAAUGGGAGGUAAACCCCUUCUAAAGCUAAAUACUGGCCAGAGACCGAUAGCGCACAAGUAGAGUGAUCGAAAGAUGAAAAGCACUUUGAAAAGAGAGUUAAAUAGCACGUGAAAUUGUUGAAAGGGAAGCGCUUGCGACCAGACUUGUGCUCGUCGAAUCAGCCGCCCCUCGCGGGCGGCGCACUUCGGCGGGCUCAGGCCAGCAUCAGUUCGCUGCAGGGGGAGAAAGGCGGCGGGAAUGUGGCUCUUCGGAGUGUUAUAGCCCGCCGCGCAAUACCCCUCGGCGGACUGAGGACCGCGCAUCUGCAAGGAUGCU